rnacentral:rRNA from 1 species
AUUGAACGCUGGCGGCAUGCCUAACACAUGCAAGUCGAACGGCAGCACGACCUAGCUUGCUAGGUUGGUGGCGAGUGGCGCACGGGUGAGUAAUGCGUAGGAAUAUACCUUAAAGUGGGGGACAACCUGGGGAAACUCAGGCUAAUACCGCAUGAGCUCUAAGGAGGAAAGCUGGGGACCUUUCGGGGCCUGGCGCUUUAAGAAUAGCUUACGUCCGAUUAGUUAGUUGGUGGGGUAAAGGCUUACCAAGACGAUGAUCGGUAGCUGGUCUGAGAGGAUGAUCAGCCACACUGGGAUUGAGACACGGCCCAGACUCCUACGGGAGGCAGCAGUGGGGAAUAUUGGACAAUGGGGGAAACCCUGAUCCAGCGAUGCCGCGUGUGUGAAGAAGGCCUGCGGGUUGUAAAGCACUUUCGGUGGGGAGGAGGACUUAUAGGUUAAGAGCUAAUGAGUUGGACGUUACCCACAUAAGGAGCACCGGCUAACUCCGUGCCAGCCGCCGCCGUAA